rnacentral:rRNA from 1 species
UACAGGGGGGGCAAGCGUUGUUCGGAAUUACUGGGCGUAAAGGGUUCGUAGGUGGCCAACUAAGUCAGACGUGAAAUCCCUCAGCUUAACUGGGGAACUGCGUCUGAUACUGGAUGGCUUGAGUGUAGGAGAGGAAUGCGGAAUUCCAGGUGUAGCGGUGAAAUGCGUAGAUAUCGUGAGGAAGACCAGUGGCGAAGGCGGGUCUCUGGACAGUUCCUGACACUGAGGCACGAAGGCCAGGGGAGCAAACGGG